UGAGAAGACUGUGCCUUCUUUCCUUUGG
rnacentral:piRNA from 1 species